UUUGUAUUCAUUUGGUUUUACUUUUUUAUUUUCACUUUUUUUACUAGCACAAAAACUACUCCUGUGAAUAUUAUGGUUUACAUCAGACCUUUCUGCCUUUGACUUCUUUAGGGUAAACAUCCAACAGUAAGUAAAGAGUUAGCAGUUUAGGGACUUUCUUUAGUUCCAAAUUCUUUUCUAGAAGUUGGAUCAAUUCACAUUUCAGUCUACAGUGUACUACUAGUAUGCCUAUUUUUCCACAGCCCCUCCAGCAUAUACCAUUCCUGCCUUUGUCAACUUAAUGGCUAGAAAGUAAAACCUCAAGGCUUUUUUCGUUAGGGUUUAAUUGGCAUCAUUAAUAGUAUUUUGUAUAAUUUUGUCCCAUUCUUGUAUGUCUCUUAUUUCUAAGAAUCACUUAUGGAAAAGUCCAUCCUGAAGAUCAGUUGUUUAUAGGGAAGGAAUAAACUUGAAAAGUUUGGGACAACUGGAAGAAAAACUGGCACAAACAUUAUAUCUAAGAUGUAGAAUUUCAAUAUGUAACAUUUUAGCCCUCCCACACACAUGCAUCUUUUUUUUUCUUUACUAUGGUAUUUUCCCCUUCAGGAUCAUAAAACAGUCUCAAAUCUCAGUGAAGAUGUGGUUUUAAAGUGAAAACUCUAUAGAAUCUUUUUGGUACUUUUAUGUGGCCAAGGGGCUCACAGUUAGACUGAAUGUGGUUUCUUUUUCCCCAUCUGAGUUCCCAUAGUAAGAGAACAUAUUUAAACCUAACACAAUAAAGGGAGUUGCCAGGCAGCGAUUCUGCAGGACAGAAUCUGAACUCUCUUUCUGGGGAGGAAAUGAGAGGAAUUGUGUUUUUAUUGGUUUGACAUUCAUACAAGGUAAUAUUCAUUAUGACUUCAGUUCUGCUCUAUCAAUGCCCAUCAGGGACUGUGACCACUGAGGCUGGAAACAGCAAGGUCACUUGUUCACAAUUGUCCACAGGUUCCUUUUCUCUGGAGAGUUUUCAAAUCCCAACUCCUUGACGCCCACUUUGGCUGAAGGUGGUCAUCUGGCACCAGGGUAGAGAAGGAGGAAAUUUCAUCCACACAUCUCUUUGAACAAUAGCCAGAGUAAAGGUCAGUAUGUGUAAUAAUGGUAUCUAAAAUGCUUUGGGUGAGGACUAGACCUGUGAUUUCCCUGGUAUAGGAUACUUCUUGGUGAGGAAAACUCCCUCUGCAUAACAGAGAUAGUCACUUUCUUGAAAACUUGGUCUUAGAGAAUUGCUCAGAGCACUUAGGACUUAAAUGCUUUGAGAAGGCUCACCAAGUCUUGAACUCAGAUCUUCCAGUGCUAGCACUUCCAAUCCUUUUUACUACUCUUAGGGAAAGUCAACUGCCCUUCUUCAAUCUCUAAACAGAAAGUCUUUUCUGCUCCCUGAAGUCAGAUGAAGAUUUGACUUCUGUACUUUCCCUUAUACUGAUUCAGAUCCUUUGUUGCCCUCCACAUGGAAUUCUUUCCUCCCUUUUUAAUGCUCUAAUACCUCUUUCUCAAUGAGUGACACUUUAAAAUCAUACCAACCUUGGCUAUGUCAUCAUUUAGAGAGUGCUGGACAUAGAGAGAGGUAGAAUUGGUCUAGAAUAAGUGUACUAAUUCGCCCAGUGGUUGGCCAGGUAUUCAGCCCUACCUCAAUGCUAUGCAUACAGUAGGUGCCUUAUAAAUGCUUGUUGAAUUGAAUUGAGACCUCAUUGGUGUGGAUGCAGAUCCCAACCCAUUCUUUAUGAAAUAUACUUCUGAAAAUCCUCCAAAGGGGAUUGGGUUCCAUCCUCUAGAUGUCUUGACAUUGUGCAAGUAGCUACAGAACAUGACAGAUGCCCAUGAGUCAUCCCUCACUCUCACUACAUUACUGACUUACUUUUUUCAGCCAUAACAUCUUUGAUAUCUUCUUUUGAUUAAAAUUUGAAUAAAAAUUUCUUUUACUGUCA
ensembl:lncRNA